rnacentral:rRNA from 1 species
GAUGAACGCUGGCGGCGUGCCUAAUACAUGCAAGUCGAGCGAACAGAUGAGGAGCUUGCUCCUCUGACGUUAGCGGCGGACGGGUGAGUAACACGUGGAUAACCUACCUAUAAGACUGGGAUAACUUCGGGAAACCGGAGCUAAUACCGGAUAAUAUAUUGAACCGCAUGGUUCAAUAGUGAAAGACGGUUUUGCUGUCACUUAUAGAUGGAUCCGUGCCGCAUUAGCUAGUUGGUAAGGUAACGGCUUACCAAGGCGACGAUGCGUAGCCGACCUGAGAGGGUGAUCGGCCACACUGGAACUGAGACACGGUCCAGACUCCUACGGGAGGCAGCAGUAGGGAAUCUUCCGCAAUGGGCGAAAGCCUGACGGAGCAACGCCGCGUGAGUGAUGAAGGUCUUCGGAUCGUAAAACUCUGUUAUUAGGGAAGAACAAAUGUGUAAGUAACUAUGCACGUCUUGACGGUACCUAAUCAGAAAGCCACGGCUAACUACGUG